rnacentral:rRNA from 1 species
AACGAACGCUGGCGGCGGGGCUUAGGCAUGCAAGUCGAGCGAGAAAGGGGUAACCCAAGUAAAGCGGCGUAAGGGUGAGUAAUGGGUAGCUAACGUACCCUCCAGACGCGGAAUAAUUUCCCGAAAGGGAUUGUAAUGCGCGAUGAGACCACGUGAUCUUCGGAUCAUGAGGUCAAAGGCCGGGGACCUUCGGGCCCGACGGCUGGGGAGGCGGCGGACCUCCGAUUAGCUUGUUGGUGAGGUAACGGCUCACCAAGGCGACGAUCAGUAGCUGGUCUGAGAGGAUGAUCA